rnacentral:rRNA from 1 species
GGCGGCGAGUGGCGAACGGGUGAGUAAUAUAUCGGAACGUACCCUGGAGUGGGGGAUAACGUAGCGAAAGUUACGCUAAUACCGCAUACGAUCUAAGGAUGAAAGUGGGGGCUUCGCAAGAACCUCAUGCUCCUGGAGCGGCCGAUAUCUGAUUAGCUAGUUGGUGGGGUAAAGGCCUACCAAGGCAUCGAUCAGUAGCUGGUCUGAGAGGACGACCAGCCACACUGGAACUGAGACACGGUCCAGACUCCUACGGGAGGCAGCAGUGGGGAAUUUUGGACAAUGGGCGAAAGCCUGAUCCAGCAAUGCCGCGUGAGUGAAGAAGGCCUUCGGGUUGUAAAGCUCUUUUGUCAGGGAAGAAACGGUGAAGGCUAAUAUCCUUUGCUAAUGACGGUACCUGAAGAAUAAGCACCGGCUAACUACGUGCCAGCAGCCGCGGUAAUACGUAGGGUGCAAGCGUUAAUCGGAAUUACUGGGCGUAAAGCGUGCGCAGGCGGUUUUGUAAGUUUGUCGUGAAAUCCCCGGGCUCAACCUGGGAAUUGCGAUGAAGACUGCAAGGCUAGAAUCUGGCAGAGGGGGGUAGAAUUCCACGUGUAGCAGUGAAAUGCGUAGAGAUGUGGAGGAACACCGAUGGCGAAGGCAGCCCCCUGGGUCAAGAUUGACGCUCAUGCACGAAAGCGUGGGGAGCAAACAGGAUUAGAUACCCUGGUAGUCCACGCCCUAAACGAUGUCUACUAGUUGUCGGGUUUUAAUUAACUUGGUAACGCAGCUAACGCGUGAAGUAGACCGCCUGGGGAGUACGGUCGCAAGAUUAAAACUCAAAGGAAUUGACGGGGACCCGCACAAGCGGUGGAUGAUGUGGAUUAAUUCGAUGCAACGCGAAAAACCUUACCUACCCUUGACAUGUACGGAAGCCACGAGAGAUCGAGGUGUGCUCGAAAGAGAGCCGUAACACAGGUGCUGCAUGGCUGUCGUCAGCUCGUGUCGUGAGAUGUUGGGUUAAGUCCCGCAACGAGCGCAACCCUUGUCAUUAGUUGCUACGAA